rnacentral:rRNA from 1 species
CAGCCGCCGCGUUAAUACGUAGAUGGCAAGCGUUGUCCGGAAUUAUUGGGCGUAAAGGGCCCGCAGGCGGUUUCUUAAGUCUGAUGUGAAAGCCCCCGGCUCAACCGGGGAGGGUCAUUGGAAACUGGGAAACUUGAGUGCAGAAGAGGAGAGUGGAAUUCCACGUGUAGCGGUGAAAUGCGUAGAGAUGUGGAGGAACACCAGUGGCGAAGGCGACUCUCUGGUCUGUAACUGACGCUGAGGAGCGAAAGCGUGGGGAGCGAACAGGAUUAGAUACCCCAGUAGUCCCUGUCUCUUAUAC